CACGUAGGGCGCGAGCGUUGUCCGGAUUUAUUGGGCGUAAAGAGCUCGUAGGCGGCUCGUUGCGUCAACCGUGAAAACCCGGGGCUUAACUUCGGGCUUGCGGUUGAUACGGGCGGGCUGGAGUUCGGUAGGGGAGACUGGAAUUCCUGGUGUAGCGGUGAAAUGCGCAGAUAUCAGGAGGAACACCGGUGGCGAAGGCGGGUCUCUGGGCCGAAAUUGACGCUGAGGAGCGAAAGCGUGGGGAGCGAACAGG
rnacentral:rRNA from 1 species